GACAGAGGGGGCAAGCGUUGCUCGGAAUUACUGGGCGUAAAGGGCGCGUAGGCGGGAUGGCAAGUCGGUCGUGAAAUACCUCGGCUCAACUGAGGAGCGUCGAUCGAAACUGCCGUUCUUGAGGGUUGCAGAGGAGACUGGAAUUCCCGGUGUAGCGGUGAAAUGUGUAGAGAUCAGGAGGAACACCGAUGGCGAGGGCAGAUCUCUGGGCCGUAACUGACGCUGAGGAGCGAAAGCGUGGGGAGCGAACAGG
rnacentral:rRNA from 1 species